rnacentral:rRNA from 1 species
AACCUUUACACUGCACGACAGUGCGAUAGGGGGACUCCGAGUGCGAGGGCAUAUAGCCCUCGCUUUUCUGUACCGUAAGGUGGUUCAGGAACAAGGACUGGGCAAGACCGGUGCCAGCCGCCGCGGUAAUACCGGCAGUCCGAGUGAUGGCCGAUAUUAUUGGGCCUAAAGCGUCCGUAGCCGGCCGGACAAGUCCGUUGGGAAAUCGACGCGCUCAACGCGUCGGCGUCCAGCGGAAACUGUCCGGCUUGGGGCCGGAAGACCUGAGGGGUACGUCCGGGGUAGGAGUGAAAUCCUGUAAUCCUGGACGGACCACCAAUGGGGAAACCACCUCAGGAAGACGGACCCGACGGUGAGGGACGAAAGCUAGGGUCUCGAACCGGAUUAGAUACCCGGGUAGUCCUAGCUGUAAACGAUGCUCGCUAGGUGUGCCGUAGGCUACGAGCCUGCGCUGCGCCCUAGGGAAGCCGAGAAGCGAGCCGCCUGGGAAGUACGUCUGCAAGGAUGAAACUUAA